rnacentral:rRNA from 1 species
GAUGAACGCUGGCGGCGUGCCUAAUACAUGCAAGUCGAGCGAACAGACGAGGAGCUUGCUCCUCUGACGUUAGCGGCGGACGGGUGAGUAACACGUGGAUAACCUACCUAUAAGACUGGGAUAACUUCGGGAAGCCGGAGCUAAUACCGGAUAAUAUAUUGAACCGCAUGGUUCAAUAGUGAAAGACGGUUUUGCUGUCACUUAUAGAUGGAUCCGCGCCGCAUUAGCUAGUUGGUAAGGUAACGGCUUACCAAGGCAACGAUGCGUAGCCGACCUGAGAGGGUGAUCGGCCACACUGGAACUGAGACACGGUCCAGACUCCUACGGGAGGCAGCAGUAGGGAACCUUCCGCAAUGGGCGAAAGCUUGACGGAGCAACGCCGCGUGAGUGAUGAAGGUCUUCGGAUCGUAAAACUCUGUUAUUAGGGAAGAACAAAUGUGUAAGUAACUAUGCACGUCUUGACGGUACCUAAUCAGAAAGCCACGGCUAACUACGUG